GGAAGGGUUGUAUUUAUUAGAUACAGAACCAAUAGGGCUUGCCCUUUUUUGGAUGAUUCAUAAUAAAUGAACGGACCGUAUGGCUUGUGCCGACGCUGUUUCAUUCAAGAUUCUGACCUAUCAGCUUUCGACGGUAGGGUAUUGGCCUACCGUGGCAUUGACGGGUAACGGAGAAUUAGGGUUCGAUUCCGGAGAGGGAGCCCGAGAAACGGCUACCACAUCUAAGGAAGGCAGCAGGCGCGCAAAUUACCCUUUUUUUACACGUGGAGGUAGUGACAAGAAAUAACAAAGCAAGCCAGUAUUCUGGUUUUGCUAUUGGAAUGAGUAGAAUUUAAAUCUCUUUACGACUAUCAAUUGGAGGGCAAGUCUGGUGCCAGCAGCCGCGGUAAUUCCAGCUCCAAUAGCGUAUAUUAAAGUUGUUGCGGUUAAAAAGCUCGUAGUUGGAUUUCUGUCGAGAACGGCCGGUCCGCACUAUGUGCGUGUAUCUGGUUCGGUCUUGGCAUCCUCUUGGAGAACGUAACUGCGCUUGAUUGCGUGGUGCGGUAUUUCAAGACUUUUA
rnacentral:rRNA from 1 species